AUGCAAGUCGAACGCUGAACUCCUGAAUCUUCGGAUUUGGGAGCUAGGCGUGGCGCACGGGUGAGUAACGCGUGGAUAACCUGCCCACGAGUGGGGAAUAACCCCGGGAAACUGGGGCUAAUACCGCAUAAUCCUUUCCUGACACCGGUCAGGAAAGGCAAAGCCCGCAAGGGCGCUGGUGGAGGGAUCCGCGUCUGAUCAGCUAGUUGGUGAGGUAACGGCUCACCAAGGCGGAGACCGGUAGCCGGUCUGAGAGGACGAUCGGCCACACUGGAACUGAGACACGGUCCAGACUCCUACGGGAGGCAGCAGUGAGGAAUAUUGCGCAAUGGGGGAAACCCUGACGCAGCGACGCCGCGUGGAGGACGACGCCCUUCGGGGUGUAAACUCCUUUCGACGGGGACGAAUGCCCGCAAGGGUUUGACGGUACCCGUAUAAGAAGCCCCGGCUAACUACGUGCCAGCAGCCGCGGUAAUACGUAGGGGGCAAGCGUUGCUCGGAAUUACUGGGCGUAAAGGGUCCGUAGGCGGUGGGGCAUGUCGGUUGUGAAAUCUCCCGGCUUAACUGGGAGGGUGCGAUCGAAACUGUUCCGCUAGAGGGCCGGAGAGGCGAGUGGAAUUGCUGGUGUAGCGGUGAAAUGCGUAGAGAUCAGCAGGAACACCGGAGGCGAAGGCGGCUCGCUGGACGGCACCUGACGCUGAGGGACGAAAGCUAGGGGAGCAAACAGGAUUAGAUACCCUGGUAGUCCUAGCCCUAAACGAUGGUCACUUGCUGUGCCGGACGUACGUCCGGCGUGGCGGAGCUAACGCGUUAAGUG
rnacentral:rRNA from 1 species